AUGCGUCAACUGUACCAAAAUAAUACCUUGUCGUGGCUACUGAUUGGUGACUUGAAUGAGAUACAAUAUCUUCAUGAAAAGGAGGGAGGUAAUCCAAGACCAAUCCAGUACAUGCAGGCAUUCCAACAAGCAAUAGAUGAUUGUGAAUUGCAUGAUAUCGGCCAUACAGGAGACACUUUCACAUGGUAUCGUGGAAGGAUAAGAGAGAGACUGGACAGAGGUUUGGCGAACGAGGCAUGGUCUGCUAUGCUUCCAGAUGCAUCAUUAGAGAACAUGGACUACAACCAUUCAGAUCACCGCCCGCUGUGUGCGGAUACUGAAUACUAUGCUCAAGGAAAUACGGCUGGACAGACUGUACAUUCGAGACGAUUUGAAGCAAAGAUGGUUGCGAGAGGAGAGCUUCCAUGA
rnacentral:rRNA from 1 species